rnacentral:rRNA from 1 species
GAUGAACGCUGGCGGCGUGCCUAAUACAUGCAAGUCGAGCGAACGGACGAGAAGCUUGUUCCCCUGAUGUUAGCGGCGGACGGGCGAGUAACACGUGGAUAACCUACCUCUAAGACGGGGAGAAUAACGGGAAACCGGAGAUAAUAACGGAGAAUAUUUUGAACCGCAUGGUGCAAAAGUGAAAGACGGCUUUGCCGUUACUAAGAGCCGGAUCCGCGCUGCAUUAGCUAGUUGGUAAGGUAACGGCCUACCAAGGCAACGAUGCGUAGCCUACCUGAGAGGAUGAUCGGCCACACUGGAACUGAGACACGGUCCAGACUCCUACGGGAGGCAGCAGUGGGGAAUCUUGCGCAAUGGGCGAAAGCCUGACGGAGCAACGCCGCGUGAGUGAUGAAGGUCUUCGGGUCGUAAAGCUCUGUUGUUAGGAAAGAACAUCUGUGUAAGUAACUGUGGACGUCUUGACGGUACCUAAACAGAAAGCCACGGCUAACUACGUG